AAGGAAUGUAGAUGCAAGAGGUGUUCCUGGAAUUCCAUGGCUCAUUAAUGAACAGAAGCUUUUUGAAUGGGCAAAUGAAGUCAGAAUUGAUCCAAAUAAUCCAGAAUAUUCUGAUUUAAUGGAAUUUGUUAUGUACAUGAGCCUUAAGGGGCAGGAUAUUCCAAAGUAUUUCCGGCUUGAACAGUUGCAAGAUGAGUUUAACUUUGUUUCUGAAGAGGAAAUGGAAAAGAGUAAACGUUUCCAGCUAUUGCAACUUAGAAAUGCAGGUCAAUUAGAUAAUUUCCUUCUACAGCAAAUGCCCCUCCAUGAUAUAGAGAUUCCAGAUUUAGUCUUCCAGGAGUAUGAAAGUCAGAAAGAGAAGGAGGUAUCCAUUUCAGAUGUAAAUUCUAUUAUAGCACAAAGGAUGAAUUCUGCCAAUUUUCUGAA